GAUGAACGCUAGCUACAGGCUUAACACAUGCAAGUCGAGGGGUAACGAGAGGAAAGCUUGCUUUCCUUGUUGACGACCGGCGCACGGGUGAGUAACGCGUAUCCAACCUGCCCCCAACUAGGGAAUAACCUUGCGAAAGUAAGACUAAUACCCUAUAAUUUCCUCAGAUGUCAUCUGACGAGGAAUAAAGAUUUAUCGGUUGUGGAUGGGGAUGCGUCUGAUUAGCUUGUUGGCGGGGUAACGGCCCACCAAGGCAACGAUCAGUAGGGGUUCUGAGAUGAAGGUCCCCCACAUUGGAACUGAGACCCGGUCCAAACUCCUAGGGGAGGCAGCAGUGAGGAAUAUUGGUCAAUGGGCGGAAGCCUGAACCAGCCAAGUAGCGUGCAGGAUGACGGCCCUAUGGGUUGUAAACUGCUUUUAUACAGGAAUAAAGUUAGCCACGUGUGGUUAUUUGUAGGUACUGUAUGAAUAAGGACCGGCUAAUUCCGUGCCAGCCGCCGCAGUAA
rnacentral:rRNA from 1 species